GGUUCGAGGGGGUUGUCGAUAUUGGUGCAGAGCAGGGGCGAGUAAGAAGAUAUGAGGCGGUGGCCGGUGGAUAUGGACGUCGUCAAAGCCAUGGCAUCUAAGGUAGUGGAGGACGGUGUCAGAAUUCACUGUGGAUCUGAGGGCGAUAAGAUGUUUGGAGGCUCUGAUGGUAUUGUCUUUGGGGAAGACGCAAGAGGUGGUGAGGUACUCCACCAUGAAAUGGGGCUUGGGAGGUUAGUCCUCCCCCAAGGCAACGGCGGCAGCAGUGAUGGAGAGGCGGC
rnacentral:lncRNA from 1 species